rnacentral:rRNA from 1 species
GACGAACGCUGGCGGCGCGCCUAACACAUGCAAGUCGAACGGAGAUAGAGCUUCGGUUUUAUCUUAGUGGCGGACGGGUGAGUAACACGUGAGCAACCUGCCUUUCAGUGGGGGAUAACACAUCGAAAGAUGUGCUAAUACCGCAUGACGCACGGGGGGGACAUCCCCUUUGUGCCAAAGAUUUAUCGCUGAGAGAUGGGCUCGCGUCCGAUUAGGUAGUUGGCGGGGUAACGGCCCACCAAGCCCGCGAUCGGUAGCCGGACUGAGAGGUUGAACGGCCACAUUGGGACUGAGACACGGCCCAGACUCCUACGGGAGGCAGCAGUGGGGGAUAUUGCACAAUGGGCGAAAGCCUGAUGCAGCGACGCCGCGUGAGGGAAGACGGUCUUCGGAUUGUAAACCUCUGUCUUCGGGGAAGAAGAAUGACGGUACCCGAGGAGGAAGCCACGGCUAACUACGUG